UGCGACAGUUCUUGAACUGUCGCUCCCUAACUAUAUGCAAUUAGCGCGCGCCUGGGUGAAUUAUAGGUCUACGAAGAUUGUACAACAGUGGUCUCUCAAAUAUCCCUAAAACACGCAUUGGAGAAAGAGGUAUACAGUUAGGGCUGAAUUUCUUCAUGUUCUGCUUCCCUAAUCUCUCUCUCUCAGCCGCGAAUCAAGAAAACUGCCGAGCUCUCUCUGCUCGAUACAAAUCCACCGCGAAUCUCUUUCUCAACCGUCGUCAAAGCAACCACGACCACCACAAAUCUUAACAGGGAGGUUAUCCAUGUGUCACAAGAAGAAGUGUUAGCGAGUAUCAGUUUCUUAUUCCUGCUGUUGAUUUUCACUGGCAAGUGCUUAUACGUCAAGUACCUGUAUGCACGAGAUAGAUAGUGAUGAGGAUAGUUGGUGGAAGAAUGAUGUGACAGAGACAAAUGAGGACUUUGCAGCUAGGGGCUGAAGUUCAUGAACUGCUUUGCCAACUGUGAGCUUUUCUCCAUGGCCAUUAUGGAUACAAGACACCGGAAGUGCAUGAGUUGGCCAAAGAAAUCAAAAAAAAGUUGGAAGAAUUCGAUGAAUAUUAUACUGUUGUUACUAUAAUUAAUUUCAGUUAAAUGUUUCUUAAGUUUGAAGAUGUUUUUUCCAUCACAACUUCCAUCCAAGCAGGAGCCGACACUGGAUCCAUCAAAGUAUACCUCUGCGGAUGUGCGAACUAUGGGGAGGUCUGCCGGUUUCAGCACGGGAGGAUCUUAUAAAUCACAUCGCACUCAACAGCACAACAACAACAACAAAAUACUCCUUCUGUUAGUAACAGUGGUGUCUCUUUUAACAACAUAAUCAUAAACAAUCGGAAUCAUGCUCAAUCUAGUCGACAUUCACUGUAUAGCUCUUUUUAUAUUGACUUUAGUUAGACUAUGCUUUUAUUGAUAUCAGUUUUAGUUAGAAUUACUAAGUUAUGUGAAUCUGUACUA